rnacentral:tRNA from 1 species
GCCAGGAUGGUGUAGUGGUUAGAGUGUUGGACUAGGAUCCAGGAGACCAGGGUUCAAAUCCCCUCUUGGCC